GAUGCCCUAUGAGGGGCGUGCCUAUUACAUGCAAGUCGAGCGAACAGACCUUGAGCUUGCUCCUUUGACGUUAGCGGCGGACGGGUGAGUAACACGUGGGUAACCUACCUAUAAGACUGGGAUAACUUCGGGAAACCGGAGCUAAUACCGGAUAAUAUUUCGAACCGCAUGGUUCGAUAGUGAAAGAUGGUUUUGCUAUCACUUAUAGAUGGACCCGCGCCGUAUUAGCUAGUUGGUAAGGUAACGGCUUACCAAGGCGACGAUACGUAGCCGACCUGAGAGGGUGAUCGGCCACACUGGAACUGAGACACGGUCCAGACUCCUACGGGAGGCAGCAGUAGGGAAUCUUCCGCAAUGGGCGAAAGCCUGACGGAGCAACGCCGCGUGAGUGAUGAAGGUCUUCGGAUCGUAAAACUCUGUUAUUAGGGAAGAACAUACGUGUAAGUAACUAUGCACGUCUUGACGGUACCUAAUCAGAAAGCCACGGCUAACUACGUGCCAGCAGCCGCGGUAAUACGUAGGUGGCAAGCGUUAUCCGGAAUUAUUGGGCGUAAAGCGCGCGUAGGCGGUUUUUUAAGUCUGAUGGGAAAGCCCACGGCUCAACCGUGGAGGGUCAUUGGAAACUGUAAAACUUGAGGGCAAAAGAGGAAAGUGGAAUUCCGUGUGUAGCGGUGAAAUGCGCAGAGAUACGGAGGAACACCAGUGGCGAAGGCGACUUUCUGGUCUGUAACUGACGCUGAUGUGCGAAAGCGUGGGGAUCAAACAGGAUUAGAUACCCUGGUAGUCCACGCCGUAAACGAUGAGUGCUAAGUGUUAGGGGGUUUCCGCCCCUUAGUGCUGCAGCUAACGCAUUAAGCACUCCGCCUGGGGAGUACGACCGCAAGGUUGAAACUCAAAGGAAUUGACGGGGACCCGCACAAGCGGUGGAGCAUGUGGUUUAAUUCGAAGCAACGCGAAGAACCUUACCAAAUCUUGACAUCCUUUGACAACUCUAGAGAUAGAGCCUUCCCCUUCGGGGGACAAAGUGACAGGUGGUGCAUGGUUGUCGUCAGCUCGUGUCGUGAGAUGUUGGGUUAAGUCCCGCAACGAGCGCAACCCUUAAGCUUAGUUGCCAUCAUUAAGUUGGGCACUCUAAGUUGACUGCCGGUGACAAACCGGAGGAAGGUGGGGAUGACGUCAAAUCAUCAUGCCCCUUAUGAUUUGGGCUACACACGUGCUACAAUGGACAAUACAAAGGGCAGCGAAACCGCGAGGUCAAGCAAAUCCCAUAAAGUUGUUCUCAGUUCGGAUUGUAGUCUGCAACUCGACUACAUGAAGCUGGAAUCGCUAGUAAUCGUAGAUCAGCAUGCUACGGUGAAUACGUUCCCGGGUCU
rnacentral:rRNA from 1 species